rnacentral:rRNA from 1 species
UUUGGUGGUCUGUGCGACGGUGGUACACCCGGCUACAUCUCGAACCCGGUCGUUAAGCCCGUCAGCGCCGAUGGUACUUGGAGGGUAACCUCCCGGGAGAGUAGGUCACCGCCAAAA